rnacentral:rRNA from 1 species
GAUGAACGCUAGCGGCAGGCCUAACACAUGCAAGUCGAGGGGUAGAGUCCUUCGGAACUUGAGACCGGCGCACGGGUGCGUAACGCGUAUGCAAUCUACCUUAUACAGGGGAAGUAGCCCAGAGAAAUUUGGAUUAAUGCCCCAUAGUGUUAUCGAAUCGCAUGGUUUGAUAACUAAAGUUCCAACGGUAUAAGAUGAGCAUGCGUCCCAUUAGUUAGUUGGUAAGGUAACCGGCUUACCAAGACAAUGAUGGGUAGGGGGUCCUGAGAGGGAGAUCCCCCACACUGGUACUGAGACACGGACCAGACUCCUACGGGAGGCAGCA